rnacentral:rRNA from 1 species
AUAGACUUUAAAUUUAAAGAAUUUGGCGGUAAUUUAGUCUAGUCAGAGGAACCUGUUCACUAAUCGAUAAUCCUCGAAGUAUCUUACUUAUUUUAAAAGUAUAAUUUUUUUAGUUUGUAUACCAUCAUUAUCAGAUAAUUUCAUUAAAGAAUAAAAUUAUUAAAAUUAAUAUGUUUUCAAAAAAAUUAGAUCAAGGUGCAGCUUAUAAAUAAGUUGAAAUGGGUUACCAUAAAAAUUUAUUUAUGUGGAUUAAUUUUUAAAAAGGGAUUAUAAAAAAGGAUUUGAUUGUAA